UUGUGAAAAACCACAAUAUAUUUGUUUUAUUUUUAACUAUGCAAAAGAAACGGACAGGGGUUUUUGUUAAGUUUGCACUAUUUGCAUUAGUGUUUGCACAUGACUUGUAUUGUUAAGUCUGCACAUCACUAGCUAAAUGUACGGGUUCAGUUUGUGUGAGAGAAUUGUGAUGUUUUACUAUCUAUACUAUAUGCACUAUAUGAGCACAGGUGCAAUGUGUGUGCUGUUAAAGUGUACUUUCAGUA